AUAUUCCUUUUCGUUCAGUUCAUUCUUAUGCAUGUAAUAUUUAUUGGUUCUGCAUACUUUCUGUAUUUUAGAUUCAAUUUGGACACUUUAUGCUUGUAUAUGAUUAAAACUCGUCAUACUGCUAACAAUGUUCCACAUAAUUACCUGCUAGUGAUGUAUAAAAUAUGCACAUUAUUAUAAUAAUAUUAUGAAUGUGUUAAAACUCUUUUAAUGGUUGGUUGGACUGACAAGUCUGUCAAAAAAUCACUGCAUUUUCAUGGGAUUAGUGUUCAUUUUUUCUAGUUUCAGGACAUCUUCGAGGAGGUUAUUUAAGUCUUAAAUUUAUAAAAGAAAAUUAAGUUAAUGAACAUUUGUUUUAAUUAUGGGCUAAAAUAAUUCUUAAAAAGUCUUUAAAGAGAAGUCUAAAAAAAUCCAUCAUCAUUUCAUCAGUUGCCAUCGUUACCCUGCUGCCGAUUGCUGCUAACAUCUCGUAAAUAAAUAAACAAAGCCCGCGAAUAAACAACGUCCGCGCAAAAUCAUCACAACAUGCAAAUGGAGGCCCAUUAAUUGGAUUUUUAAAUAUCCUCCAUCACUUCUAAUUUAUGGGGAAGUUACAUGCAUACCAACCAAUUCAUAUGUAUUUACAUUUCUGAUACCUCAACUUUGUUUUUAACAUUUAUGCCCUUUAUCCUUCAUGUUAGAACAAAAUUAACAGCAUUUUAACUUUUAAUAAGUAAAAAUAUAUUAAAAAUUUCAUUUCAGUUGGGUGCUCCAUUGUUGUUAGUUGGGUUUCUUAAUUAUCUCACAUGCAAAUAGAAGACUAUCUUCAACAGCGAUGUUUCUAAGCGUAACUUUUGAGGAAGUUGCCCAUCUUAAGAGCACUCCAGCCUGAGCAUGCAACCUUCAUACCAAAAUACGUUUGGCUUUCAUUCAAUUUAUAGAUUUUCACAAUUUCUUUCACUUAAAUAACUGAAGUCUUCCUAAGUAUAUUCUCAACCAAGAAUCAUCCACCAGGCAACAGCCGGUUAUGAUGCUGUGAGAAACAAAUCAAACCUUCAGGAGCCUUCUUCAUCUCCUGCUCCUUCAUUCUACUCCUCAUUCUCGCCGCAUCUUCCCAUCUUCCCGCAUCAGCAUACAA